rnacentral:rRNA from 1 species
AUUGAACGCUGGGGGCAUGCCUUACACAUGCAAGUCGAACGGUAACAGAUCUUCGGAUGCUGACGAGUGGCGAACGGGUGAGUAAUACAUCGGAACGUGCCUAGUAGUGGGGGAUAACUACUCGAAAGAGUGGCUAAUACCGCAUGAGAUCUACGGAUGAAAGCAGGGGAUUGCAAGACCUUGUGCUACUAGAGCGGCCGAUGGCAGAUUAGGUAGUUGGGGGGAUAAAAGCUUACGAAGCCGACGAUCUGUAGCUGGUCUGAGAGGACGAUCAGCCACACUGGGACUGAGACACGGCCCAGACUCCUACGGGAGGCAGCAGUGGGGAAUUUUGGACAAUGGGCGCAAGCCUGAUCCAGCAAUGCCGCGUGCAGGAUGAAGGCCUUCGGGUUGUAAACUGCUUUUGUACGGAACGAAAAGCCCUGGGUUAAUACCCUGGGGUCAUGACGGUACCGUAAGAAUAAGCACCGGCUAACUACGUGCCAGCCGCCGCGGUAAAAC